rnacentral:tRNA from 1 species
GGGACGUUAGCUCAGCUGGUAGAGCAGCAGCCUUUUAAGCUGAUGGUCGGGGGUUCGAUUCCCUCACGUCCCACCA